rnacentral:rRNA from 1 species
UACGUAGGGGGCAAGCGUUAUCCGGAUUUACUGGGUGUAAAGGGAGCGUAGACGGACUGGCAAGUCUGAUGUGAAAGGCGGGGGCUCAACCCCUGGACUGCAUUGGAAACUGUUAGUCUUGAGUGCCGGAGAGGUAAGCGGAAUUCCUAGUGUAGCGGUGAAAUGCGUAGAUAUUAGGAGGAACACCAGUGGCGAAGGCGGCUUGCUGGACGGUAACUGACGUUGAGGCUCGAAAGCGUGGGGAGCAAACAGG